rnacentral:tRNA from 1 species
CAGAAAAUAGUUUAAGUAAAAUACAAACUUUGGGAGUUUGAGAUAUAGAUUUCUAUUUUUCUGA